GACGAACGCUGGCGGCGUGCUUAACACAUGCAAGUCGAACGGAAAGGCCCUGCUUUUGUGGGGUUCUCGAUUGGCGAACGGGUGAGUAACACGUGAGUAACCUGCCCUUGACUUUGGGAUAACUUCAGGAAACUGGGGCUAAUACCGGAUAGGAGCUCCUGCUGCAUGGUGGGGGUUGGAAAGUUUCGGCGGUUGGGGAUGGACUCGCGGCUUAUCAGCUUGUUGGUGGGGUAGUGGCUUACCAAGGCUUUGACGGGUAGCCGGCCUGAGAGGGUGACCGGCCACAUUGGGACUGAGAUACGGCCCAGACUCCUACGGGAGGCAGCAGUGGGGAAUAUUGCAGAAUGGGCGGAAGCCUGAUGCAGCAACGCCGCGUGCGGGAUGACGGCCUUCGGGUUGUAAACCGAUUUCGACUGUGACGAAGAGUGAGUGACGGUAAUGGGUAAAGAAGCACCGGCUAACUACGUG
rnacentral:rRNA from 1 species